rnacentral:rRNA from 1 species
UCGGGAAUUUUGGGCAAUGGGCGAAAGCCUGACCCAGCAACGCCGCGUGAAGGAUGAAGUAUUUCGGUAUGUAAACUUCGAAAGAAUGGGAAGAAUCAAUGACGGUACCAUUUAUAAGGUCCGGCUAACUACGUGCCAGCAGCCGCGGUAAUACGUAGGGACCAAGCGUUGUUCGGAUUUACUGGGCGUAAAGGGCGCGUAGGCGGCUUUGUAAGUCACUUGUGAAAUCUCCGGGCUUAACUCGGAACGGCCAAGUGAUACUGCAAAGCUAGAGUGCAGAAGGGGCAAUCGGAAUUCUUGGUGUAGCGGUGAAAUGCGUAGAUAUCAAGAGGAACACCUGAGGUGAAGACGGGUUGCUGGGCCGACACUGACGCUGAGGCGCGAAAGCCAGGGGAGCAAACGGGAUUAGAUACCCUUGUAGUCCCUGAGCGGGCUGGCAAGGCGCAU